CCUACGGGAGGCAGCAGUGGGGAAUAUUGGGCAAUGGGCGCAAGCCUGACCCAGCAACGCCGCGUGAGUGAUGAAGGUCUUCGGAUCGUAAACCUCUGUCAGCAGGGAAGAACGGUCACUGUGCUAAUCAGCAGUGAAUUGACGGUUCCUGCAAAGGAAGCACCGGCUAACUCCGUGCAAGCAGCCGCGGUAAUACGGAGGGUGCGAGCGUUAAUCGGAAUUACUGGGCGUAAAGCGCUCGUAGGCGGUAUGUCAAGUCAAGGGUGAAAUCCCCGCGCUUAACGUGGGAACUGCCUUUGAAACUGGCAAACUGGAGUGUGUGAGAGGAUAGUGGAAUUCCAGGUGUAGGAGUGAAAUCCGUAGAUAUCUGGAGGAACAUCAGUGGCGAAGGCGACUAUCUGGCACAUAACUGACGCUGAGGAGCGAAAGCGUGGGUAGCAAACAGGAUUAGAUACCCCAGUAGUC
rnacentral:rRNA from 1 species